rnacentral:rRNA from 1 species
GGUUAAGCGACUAAGCGUACACGGUGGAUGCCCUGGCAGUCAGAGGCGAUGAAGGACGUGCUAAUCUGCGAAAAGCGUCGGUAAGGUGAUAUGAACCGUUAUAGCCGGCGAUGUCCGAAUGGGGAAACCCAGUGCAAUUCGUUGCACUAUCGUUAACUGAAUACAUAGGUUAACGAGGCGAACCGGGGGAACUGAAACAUCUAAGUACCCCGAGGAAAAGAAAUCAACCGAGAUUCCCCCAGUAGCGGCGAGCGAACGGGGAGCAGCCCAGAGUCUGAAUCAGCUUGUGUGUUAGUGGAACGGUCUGGAAAGUCCGACGGUACAGGGUGAUAGUCCCGUACACCAAAAUGCACAGGCUGUGAACUCGAAGAGUAGGGCGGGACACGUGGUAUCCUGUCUGAAUAUGGGGGGACCAUCCUCCAAGGCUAAAUACUCCUGACUGACCGAUAGUGAACCAGUACCGUGAGGGAAAGGCGAAAAGAACCCCGGCGAGGGGAGUGAAAAAGAACCUGAAACCGUGUACGUACAAGCAGUGGGAGCACCUUCGGGUGUGACUGCGUACCUUUUGUAUAAUGGGUCAGCGACUUAUAUUCUGUAGCAAGGUUAACCGUAUAGGGGAGCCGCAGGGAAACCGAGUCUUAACUGGGCGUUAAGUUGCAGGGUAUAGACCCGAAACCCGGUGAUCUAGCCAUGGGCAGGUUGAAGGUUGGGUAACACUAACUGGAGGACCGAACCGACUAAUGUUGAAAAAUUAGCGGAUGACUUGUGGCUGGGGGUGAAAGGCCAAUCAAACCGGGAGAUAGCUGGUUCUCCCCGAAAGCUAUUUAGGUAGCGCCUCGUGAACUCAUCUUCGGGGGUAGAGCACUGUUUCGGCUAGGGGGUCAUCCCGACUUACCAACCCGAUGCAAACUACGAAUACCGAAGAAUGUUAUCACGGGAGACACACGGCGGGUGCUAACGUCCGUCGUGAAGAGGGAAACAACCCAGACCGCCAGCUAAGGUCCCAAAGUCAUGGUUAAGUGGGAAACGAUGUGGGAAGGCACAGACAGCCAGGAUGUUGGCUUAGAAGCAGCCAUCAUUUAAAGAAAGCGUAAUAGCUCACUGGUCGAGUCGGCCUGCGCGGAAGAUGUAACGGGGCUAAACCAUGCACCGAAGCUGCGGCAGCGACACUAUGUGUUGUUGGGUAGGGGAGCGUUCUGUAAGCCUGCGAAGGUGUGCUGUGAGGCAUGCUGGAGGUAUCAGAAGUGCGAAUGCUGACAUAAGUAACGAUAAAGCGGGUGAAAAGCCCGCUCGCCGGAAGACCAAGGGUUCCUGUCCAACGUUAAUCGGGGCAGGGUGAGUCGACCCCUAAGGCGAGGCCGAAAGGCGUAGUCGAUGGGAAACAGGUUAAUAUUCCUGUACUUGGUGUUACUGCGAAGGGGGGACGGAGAAGGCUAUGUUAGCCGGGCGACGGUUGUCCCGGUUUAAGCAUGUAGGCUGGUUGUCCAGGCAAAUCCGGAUAAUCAAGGCUGAGGUGUGAUGACGAGGCACUACGGUGCUGAAGUAACAAAUGCCCUGCUUCCAGGAAAAGCCUCUAAGCAUCAGGUAACAUUAAAUCGUACCCCAAACCGACACAGGUGGUCAGGUAGAGAAUACCAAGGCGCUUGAGAGAACUCGGGUGAAGGAACUAGGCAAAAUGGUGCCGUAACUUCGGGAGAAGGCACGCUGGUGUGUAGGUGAAGCCCCUGCGGGUGGAGCUGAGACCAGUCGAAGAUACCAGCUGGCUGCAACUGUUUAUUAAAAACACAGCACUGUGCAAACACGAAAGUGGACGUAUACGGUGUGACGCCUGCCCGGUGCCGGAAGGUUAAUUGAUGGGGUUAUCCGUAAGGAGAAGCUCUUGAUCGAAGCCCCGGUAAACGGCGGCCGUAACUAUAACGGUCCUAAGGUAGCGAAAUUCCUUGUCGGGUAAGUUCCGACCUGCACGAAUGGCGUAAUGAUGGCCAGGCUGUCUCCACCCGAGACUCAGUGAAAUUGAACUCGCUGUGAAGAUGCAGUGUACCCGCGGCAAGACGGAAAGACCCCGUGAACCUUUACUAUAGCUUGACACUGAACAUUGAGCCUUGAUGUGUAGGAUAGGUGGGAGGCUUUGAAGCGUGGACGCCAGUCUGCGUGGAGCCAACCUUGAAAUACCACCCUUUAAUGUUUGAUGUUCUAACGUUGGCCCCUGACCGGGGUUGCGGACAGUGUCUGGUGGGUAGUUUGACUGGGGCGGUCUCCUCCCAAAGCGUAACGGAGGAGCACGAAGGUUAGCUAAUCCUGGUCGGACAUCAGGAGGUUAGUGCAAUGGCAUAAGCUAGCUUGACUGCGAGCGUGACGGCGCGAGCAGGUGCGAAAGCAGGUCAUAGUGAUCCGGUGGUUCUGAAUGGAAGGGCCAUCGCUCAACGGAUAAAAGGUACUCCGGGGAUAACAGGCUGAUACCGCCCAAGAGUUCAUAUCGACGGCGGUGUUUGGCACCUCGAUGUCGGCUCAUCACAUCCUGGGGCUGAAGUAGGUCCCAAGGGUAUGGCUGUUCGCCAUUUAAAGUGGUACGCGAGCUGGGUUUAGAACGUCGUGAGACAGUUCGGUCCCUAUCUGCCGUGGGCGCUGGAGAAUUGAGGGGGGCUGCUCCUAGUACGAGAGGACCGGAGUGGACGCAUCACUGGUGUUCGGGUUGUCAUGCCAAUGGCACUGCCCGGUAGCUAAAUGCGGAAGAGAUAAGUGCUGAAAGCAUCUAAGCACGAAACUUGCCCCGAGAUGAGUUCUCCCUGAGACUUUAAGUCUCCUGAAGGAACGUUGAAGACGACGACGUUGAUAGGCCGGGUGUGUAAGCGCAGCGAUGCGUUGAGCUAACCGGUACUAAUGAACCGUGAGGCUUAACCUU